UACGUAGGGACCAAGCGUUGUCCGGAAUCAUUGGGCGUAAAGAGCGUGUAGGCGGCUUGUUAAGUCUUGCGUGAAAUCUCGGGGCUCAACCCCGAGCGGUCGUGAGAAACUGGCAGGCUAGAGUGCGGGAGAGGAGAGUGGAAUUCCUGGUGUAGCGGUGAAAUGCGCAGAUAUCAGGAAGAACACCAGUGGCGAAGGCGGCUCACUGGCCCGGUACUGACGCUGAGGUGCGAAAGCGUGGGGAGCAAACAGG
rnacentral:rRNA from 1 species